rnacentral:rRNA from 1 species
AUUGAACGCUGGCGGCAGGCCUAACACAUGCAAGUCGAACGAGUGGCGGACGGGUGAGUAAGGUCUGGGAAACUGCCUGAGGGAGGGGGAUAACUACUGGAAACGGUAGCUAAUACCGCAUACCAUCAGCUGGGCCCAGAUGGGAUGAGCGUGUGGGUGGGGUAACGGCUUACCAAGGCGACGAUCCCUAGCUGGUCUGAGAGGAUGACCAGCCACACUGGAACUGAGACACGGUCCAGACUCCUACGGGAGGCAGCAGUGGGGAAUAUUGGACAAUGGGCGAAAGCCUGAUGCAGCCAUGCCGCGUGUAUGAAGAAGGCCUUCGGGUUGUAAAGUACUUUCAGCGGGGAGGCGUUACCCGCAGAAGAAGCACCGGCUAACUCCGUGCCAGCAGCCGCGGUAAUUC